UACAGGGGGUGCAAACGUUGCUCGGAAUUAUUGGGCGUAAAGCGCGCGUAGGCGGCUACUUAAGUCGGAUGUGAAAGCCCUUGGCUCAACUGAGGAAGUGCACCCGAAACUGAGUGGCUUGAGUACCAAAGAGGGUCGCGGAAUUCCCGGUGUAGAGGUGAAAUUCGUAGAUAUCGGGAGGAACCCCGGUGGCGAAGGCGGCGCCCUGGUGGAUACUGACGCUGAGGCGCGAAAGCGUGGGGAGCAAACAGG
rnacentral:rRNA from 1 species